UUCUGGUUGAUCCUGCCGGACCUGACUGCUAUCGGAUUGAUACUAAGCCAUGCGAGUCUUUGUAGUAAUACAAGGCAGACGGCUCAGUAACACGUAGUCAACCUACCCUAUGGACGAGAAUAAUCUCGGGAAACUGAGCAUAAUUCUUGAUAGAUCAUAAUGCCUGGAAUGGUUUAUGGUUAAAAUGAUUCGUCGCCAUAGGAUGGGACUGCGGCCUAUCAGCUUGUUGGUGAGGUAAUGGCCCACCAAGGCGAUUACAGGUACGGGCUCUGAGAGGAGAAGCCCGGAGAUGGGUACUGAGACACGGACCCAGGCCCCAUGGGGCGCAGCAGGCGAGAAAACUUUGCAAUGUGCGAAAGCACGACAAGGUUAAUCCGAGUGAUUUCUGCUAAAGAAAUCUUUUGCCAGUCGUAAAACCGCUGGUGAAUAAGGGGUGGGCAAGUUCUGGUGCCAGCAGCCGCGGUAAU
rnacentral:rRNA from 1 species